UAAACGGUGCCCAUGGUACUCUCCUUUAGGAUCUUUACCCUUUCCUAAAAAAAUGUCAUGGGCAUUAAAAA
rnacentral:ncRNA from 1 species